UCAUUCAUGGCUCAGUAGGUAGAGUAUGAGACUCUUGAUCUCAGGGUUGUGGGUUCGAGCCCCAUGUUGGACGAA
rnacentral:tRNA from 1 species